rnacentral:rRNA from 1 species
UGAACCCUACGGGGGGCAGCAGUAGGGAAUCUUCCACAAUGGGCGAAAGCCUGAUGGAGCAACGCCGCGUGGGUGAAGAAGGUCUUCGGAUCGUAAAACCCUGUUGUUAGAGAAGAAAGUGCGUGAGAGUAACUGUUUACGUUUCGACGGUAUCUAACCAGAAAGCCACGGCUAACUACGUGCCAGCAGCCGCGGUAAUACGUAGGUGGCAAGCGUUAUCCGGAUUUAUUGGGCGUAAAGGGAACGCAGGCGGUCUUUUAAGUCAGCGGUCAAAGCCCGGGGCUCAACCCCGGCCCGCCGUUGAA